rnacentral:tRNA from 1 species
UGUUCUGUAGAUUAGUUGGUUAAAGCGCCGGCCUAGCGUGCACGAAGUUGUGAGUUCGAAUCUCAUUAGAACGC